AAUGCACCAAUUUGUAAGUCGCUCUGGAUAAGAGCGUCUACUAAAUGACGUAAA
rfam:Salmo salar isolate Sally breed double haploid chromosome ssa15, whole genome shotgun sequence.